CAGAGAUCAUGCCCCUCGUUGGGUAGACCUCCCACCCUGUGUUAUUUACGAUUGUUGCUUUGGCAGGCCGCCAGCAUGCUGGCGCUCGGCUUCGGCUGAGGUGCGCCUGCCAGAGGACCCCCAACUCUGUGUUUAGUGUUGUCUGAGUACUAAGUUAAUACGUUA
rnacentral:misc_RNA from 1 species